rnacentral:rRNA from 1 species
GUGUCAGCAGCCGCGGUAAUACGUAGGGAGCGAGCGUUGUUCGGAUUUACUGGGCGUAAAGAGCACGUAGGCGGGUGUGCAAGUCGGUUGUGAAAUCCUCUGGCUCAACCAGAGAACUGCAAUCGAAACUGUGCACCUUGAGUCUAUCAGAGGAAACCGGAAUCAAGGGUGUAGCGGUGAAAUGCGUAGAUAUCCUUGAGAACAUCAGUGGCGAAGGCGGGUUUCUGGGAUAGUACUGACGCUGAGGUGCGAAAGCUAGGGGAGCGAACAGGAUUAGAUACCCUGGUAGUCCUAGCCGUAAACGAUGGGUACUAGGUGUUGGGGGACAUUGACCCCCUCAGUGCCGCAGCUAACGCAUUAAGUACCCCGCCUGGGGAGUACGGCCGCAAGGCUGAAACUUAAAUGAAUUGACGGGG